rnacentral:snRNA from 1 species
GUCCCUUCGGGGACAUCCGAUAAAAUUGGAACGAUACAGAGAAGAUUAGCAUGGCCCCUGCGAAAUGAUUGAUCAUUUUUGAAAAAUUGUUAGAACUAAAGUAUUU